rnacentral:lncRNA from 1 species
UAUUUAAUUAUCUUAAAAGUUAUGGUGAAAAUUUAAUAUGUUCAAAGAGGAUUUAAUUAACACUUAUCAAUUCUGAACGAGAUUUACUAGAAACUUCUUACUUUUGCUAAUAGGCUUCUUAUUAAUUUACUCUAUGUAUAUUACACAAUCUCCAAUAGUCUUGAAUUUGUUAAUCUCGUUUUUCUAUUAUUAUUAAUUACACCGACAAGCUUCUCAGUAUUCCAUCAUCUUUCUUUCUUUGUUUUCUCAACUUUUUAGCUCUUUCAAGAACAUUUUCCUUCGCUUUAUAUUCUUUUGUUUAUUACAAGCUUCUUCAUCCCUUUUCUCAAUUUAAAUGGUGAUUCUAGUGAGAUUUUUACAGCUCCCUUCUCCCUUCAAACGUGAUUUCUCAACCCUUAUACCUUCCUUUUCUAUUUGAGAAGAAAAAACAAUGUUCUUUUAGUUAUUCUUGUCAUCUUGAGAGAAAAUAAUGCUCUUUAUGUAACGACCCCAAAAUGGACCGUCACCGGCGCUAGGAUUCAGGUCAGCUUAAGGCCGCCAGAACGCGUAGCAAGCCUGCUAUACUCUCUGUGUACUUGUCAUACUCAUACAUGAUCAUACAUUUUCUGUGAAAAUAAAAACUCUUUGCUGAACCAAGACUUAACCUGUGCAUGCACUAUCUCUGUACUCUGUACUCUGUACUCUGUACCCCUGACUAGAGCUUGCUCUAGAUGGGUAAUUCAUACCUGUUAAGCCUGGUUUUUCACAUACAAGAAAACAACUAUACAUAUACAGAUCAUGGACAACAUAAACAUCACUAAGUCAAGCACAUUUCUAACUUUAUACACAACUAUUACAUCUCUUUCAAAUUACAUGUCCACUCUACACUAUUACAAUUCUCUUUACUCUUUUUGGUACUCUGCUGAUCUCCUCUCUAUACUGUACACUGAACCUGCAAAACUGGGGUUAAAGGAGUGGGAUGAGCUCUAUAGCCCAGUGAGUAGAACAGUAAAACAUCUCAUUAAAAUAUGAACUCAUGGAAUGCGUCAUAACACAGACAAUCCACAUCAAGAGUAAACCUGUCACCACAUAGUCCCAGUAACUCUGUGCCAGGGCGUAGAAUCAAGCACCUGGUCUUCCUGUCAUAUAUGUAUAUGUGUAUAUAACACCUAUGUACUUACCAUUGCCAGGGCGUAGUCAAAGGUUCCUGGACUUUGCUAUACCUGCCAGGGCGUAGUCAAAGGCUCCUGGACUUCUCUAUACCUGCCAGGGCGUAGUCAAAGGCUCCUGGACUUCCUGUCUGUGACUAUUGGAUCAUUCAACAUUUACCCACAUCAACAAAUAACUAUGCAAUGCAGCAUAUUCGUGGAUUCUAAUGCAAACAACCUACUGUAUACUCAUGAUGCAUGAACUAUGCUAAAAGCAUUGUAGUUCUCAAUUAAAAACAUUAAGUUUAGUUCCACUCACCUCUGGCUCUNNNNNNNNNNNNNNNNNNNNNNNNNNNNNNNNNNNNNNNNNNNNNNNNNNNNNNNNNNNNNNNNNNNNNNNNNNNNNNNNNNNNNNNNNNNNNNNNNNNNNNNNNNNNNNNNNNNNNNNNNNNNNNNNNNNNNNNNNNNNNNNNNNNNNNNNNNNNNNNNNNNNNNNNNNNNNNNNNNNNNNNNNNNNNNNNNNNNNNNNNNNNNNNNNNNNNNNNNNNNNNNNNNNNNNNNNNNNNNNNNNNNNNNNNNNNNNNNNNNNNNNAACAUAUUCGUGGAUACUAAUGCAAUCAACCUAUGGCAGAAUUAUGAUGCAUGAGAUAUGCUAAACCAUUCAAUUGUGCAAGUAAAAGAGUUAAGUUUAAUUCCACUCACCUCUGGCUAUCUGGACUGACUGACUCUACAGGCUCUGUAAACUCUGGAGCAGUACUCACUGCUGCUCUCUCUAGUUCCUCUGGUCUGUACCUAUACAGAUAGACUCAUAUGAGGGACCAAACUCGCUUAUGCAUACAUCUAUUCAACUCCCCAAAAAAUCCCCUUAAACUCACUCUACCAUCCAUGUCUAAGCAUACAAAGGAAAACUGGACAGAACACUUUCGGCGGCAGGUUCGGCGGCCGAAAGUCCUCUCCAGCGACGAAACUCAAGCACCUUCGGCGGCCGAACUUCCACUUUCGGCUGCCGAACCCUUUCGGGGGCACGUUUCGGAGGCCAAAAGGCACUCCAGAGACGAAAGUCUCUAACCUUCGGCGGCACCUUCGGCGGCCGAACUUCCCUCCAAAGCCGAAAGUCCAAAAGCUCGGGGGCAAGCUUGGGCAGCCGAAGCCACCUCCUCACACCUCCUCAGGGGUUCGGCGGCCGAAUGUACCUUCGGCUGCCGAACCUGAGUUCAUCAGCAGGGUAGAAACUUGCCCUGCCUCUCGCCAAAUGCACCAAACUCCUCUCCAACUUCACACCACACUUCCUCCACCUGCAUACACUUAUGUAUAUGCUCAAAGGGGUCAACAACUACCUAAAAACCCCAAACACACAACACAAACAACACAGAAACAAGCUCUAUGCACAAAAUCAUCAAAACCUCUCAAAUAACCCUAUUCAUGCAACUCUCUCCAUAAACCCCAUAAAACCUUCAGAAAACAUAAAAACAAGUUUAGGAUCUUUCCUUACCUCUUGAAACCAAGUAGAUGAAGGAUCCUAACGUGGAGUUUUGGAGCAACUUGCCUUCAAACUCUCCAAACUUCACAACUUUGAGUUUUGACCUUAAAACCUUCAAAUAACCAUGAAAACUAAUCAAAUCUUUGCAUGAUUUAAUGAAAACAUGAAGAAAUACUCACAAAGGACAGAGUUUCACCUCAGCAAGUGAAAGAAACGGUGCUCUACCGCUUCAACCGACUGAGGGCCAUUUAUAGGUGGCUGGCCAGACCACCUUCGGCGGCCAAACGUGAAACCGAAAGCCAUGCAUGUUCGGCGGCCGAACCUCAACUUCGGCGGCCGAACCUGGCUUUUCUGCCUUGGUUCAUUUCAUUAAAAAAAAACUCAUUGUCUUAUGCUUAAAACUUAAUGACCAUAUCAAAACAUUUAAAAACAAACAUAAAUCAAACCCUUCUAGAAACGUCCGACAUCCAACACUCCAUCGGGAAAGUAGAAUUCCGAUGCCGGACUCUAGCCGGGUAUUACAUUCUCCCCCCCUUAAGAACAUUCGUCCUCGAAUGUUCCUAAAACAAACAACGAACACAUAAUAAAAGGAGGAAACUAACCUCAAAACAAAUAUGGAUACUGCUGAAGUAUAGACUCCCGCGUCUCCCAUGUACACUCUUCUAGAUUAUGGUGGUUCCACAGAACUUUCACCAUUGGGAUCUCCUUGUUCCUUAGCUGUCUGAUCUGUGUGUCCAGAAUCCGCACUGGCUGCUCUAUAUAGGUGAGAUCUGUAAGAAUCUCCACCUCAGGCUCACUCAGAACCUGAUUCGGAUCUGACACAAACUGCCGGAGCAUAGAAACAUGAAAUACCGGGUGAAUUCUCUCCAUAGAGGCAGGUAAAUCCAGCUUAGACGACACAUUCCCGAUCCUCUGCAAAAUCUCAAAGGGUCCUAUGUAUCGUGGAGCUAACUUACCUUUCUGCCCAAAACGAACCACGCCUUUCAUUGGAGACACUUUUAGCAAUACCCAAUUACCCUCCUGGAACUCUAACUGUUUUCUGCGCACGUCUGCAUAACUUUUCUGUCUGCUCUGAGCUGUUCUGAUUCUCUCUCUGAUCAUAGGCACCACUCUACUGAUAAUCUCUAUCAAUUCUGGCCCUGCAAGAGCCUUUUCUCCUACCUCUUCCCAGCAAACAGGUGAUCUGCACUUCCUCCCAUAUAAGGCGUCAUAAGGAGCCAUUCCUAUGCUAGCAUGAUGGCUGUUAUUGUAGGCAAACUCUACCAAAGGUAGAUGCUGCCGCCAAGAACCGCCAAAGUCUAAUACACACAAUCGAAGCAUAUCUUCUAUGGUCUGAAUGGUCCUUUCUGACUGUCCAUCAGUCUGUGGGUGGAAAGCAAUGCUAAAAUCCAAUCUCGUGCCCAUCGCACUCUGCAGACUUCGCCAAAAUCUAGAAGUAAACUGAGGUCCUCUAUCUGAGACUAUAGACACUGGGACUCCAUGUAGUCUCACUAUCUCAUCCAGAUAGACCUGAACCAACUUAUCCACAGAAUAGUUACUCCGAACUGGAAGAAAAUGAGCAGAUUUCGUGAGUCUGUCCACAAUCACCCAUAUAGAGUCUAUCCUGUUGGACGCUGCUGGUAAACCCACAACAAAAUCCAUAGCGAUGUUCUCCCAUUUCCACUCUGGAAUCGGCAAUGGGUUAAGCAUUCCGGCUGGUUUCUGAUGCUCUAGUUUCACCCUCUGGCAAACUUCACAGGCUGUCACAAACUGCGCCACGUCUUUCUUCAUGGCUGGCCACCAAUAAACUCUUUUGAGAUCCUGAUACAUCUUGGUGGCUCCUGGGUGAACACUAUACCUCGCAUUAUGAGCUUCUCUCAUAAUGUCUGCCUUCACAUUGCUACUAUCUGGUACAUAAAGUCGACUCCCACAGCGAAGGAUCCCUUUGCUGUCAAAUCUGAACUCUGCACUGUUGCCUGACUGAACAGUCCUGGCAAUUUUCAUCAAUUCUGGGUCCUCGUGUUGUCUCUGAGCUAUCUGCUCCAGAAACACAGGUGUCACUCUCAUCUGUGCUAUCAACGCACCUGUACCAGACAACUCUAGCUGUAACCCCUCUUCUAAGAGCUUGUAAAGCUCCUUCACAACCGGUCUCCGCUCUGCUGCUAUAUGGGAUAAACUGCCUAGUGACUUCCGGCUUAGAGCGUCUGCCACAACAUUCGCCUUACCCGGAUGAUACUGGAUCUUACAAUCAUAAUCACUGAGCAAUUCUACCCAUCUUCUCUGCCUCAAAUUCAGCUCUCUCUGACUCAAGAUGUACUGUAAACUCUUGUGAUCGGUGAAGAUCGCGCAUUUAACCCCGUAGAGGUAAUGCCGCCACAUCUUAAGUGCAAAGAUAACUGCUGCCAUCUCAAGGUCAUGGGUGGGGUAAUUCAACUCGUGCUUCUUUAACUGUCUAGAAGCAUAAGCUAUCACCCUAUCACUCUGCAUCAAAACACAGCCCAAUCCCACGCGAGAUGCAUCACAGAACACUGUGAAAUCCUCAUUACUGACAGGCAAAGCUAACACUGGUGCUGUUGUCAAUCUCUUCUUGAGCUCCUCAAAGCUUUCUUCACACUGGUCUGACCAGACAAACUUCUGGUUCUUCUGGGUUAGUUUGGUCAUAGGAGCCGCUAUCUUUGAGAAGUCCUGAACGAACCUCCUGUAGUAACCUGCCAGUCCCAGAAAGCUUUUAAUCUCAGUUACUGUCGUGGGUCUGGGCCAGUUAGCUACAACCUCUAUCUUCUUGGGGUCUACCUCAAUACCCUCUGCUGAUACCACAUGUCCCAAGAAGGAAAUGCUCCUCAACCAAAACUCACACUUUGAGAACUUGGCAUACAAACCAUGCUCUCUCAGUGUAUGCAGAACUAUCCUCAGAUGCUGGGCAUGCUCCUCUGCAUUUCUGGAAUACACUAAAAUAUCAUCGAUGAAAACAAUGACAAAGUGAUCCAGAAACUCACUGAAAACUCUGUUCAUGAGAUCCAUGAAUGCUGCAGGGGCGUUAGUCAACCCGAACGGCAUCACUAAGAACUCAUAAUGCCCAUAUCUGGUCCUGAAAGCUGUCUUAGGCACAUCUGUCUCUCUAACUCUUAACUGAUGAUACCCGGAUCUCAGAUCUAUUUUCGAGAAACAACCUGCUCCAGCUAGCUGGUCAAAUAGAUCAUCAAUCCUAGGUAGAGGAUACCUAUUCUUGGUAGUGACCUUGUUCAACUGUCUGUAGUCGAUACAAAGUCUGAGGGAUCCAUCCUUCUUUCUAACAAAGAGCACUGGAGCACCCCAAGGUGAGGUACUAGGGCGGAUGAAACCUUUAUCUACCAAGUCCUGUAACUGCGUUUUUAACUCUUUUAACUCUGCUGGCGCCAUCCGGUAGGGAGGAAUAGAGAUAGGUCUGGUAUCAGGUAGCAAUUCUAUUUCAAACUCUAUCUCCCUACCAGGUGGUAGUCCUGGAAGUUCGUCUGGAAACACAUCGAGAAACUCUCGGACUACUGGUACUGUGGCUGGUUCCCUAACCUGACUGGCUAGCUCUCUCACAUGAGCUAGAAACCCCUGACAACCCCUCCUAAGCAAACGACGAGCCUGAAGGGCUGAAAUCAAACCUCUGGGUGUACCUCUCCUGUCUCCUCUGAAGAUACAUUCUGAUCCAUCCUGGUCUCGAAGACUAACUAUCUUCUCUCUACAGUCCAAAGUAGCACUAUAUGCAGAUAGCCAAUCCAUCCCUAGAAUGACAUCAAAAUCUGUCAAGUCUAGAACCACAAGGUCAGCUGGAAGGCAUCUACCCUCUAUGAACACUGGACUGAAACGACAAACUGACACUGCCACUGAUGGAUCACAUUUAGGUCCACUGACCCAGAGAGGAUACUUUAACUCAGACCUGAUCAAACCCAACCUCUCUAUGGCUCUCGAAGCAAUAAAGGAAUGAGAAGCACCGGGGUCCAUCAAAGCAUACACAUCUGAACACCCAAUGAUGAGAUUACCUGACACCACUGUGUUCGACGUGUUCGCCUCCUCCUGUGUCACUGUGAAAAUCCGUGCUGGGGCUACCGGAUUUCCACCUCGGGAACCUGCUGCUGAAGUAGAGGCUGCCCCUCUCCCUCUACCUCUGCCACUACUCUGAGGCAUGACUGGAGCUGCUGGCCGUACAACUGGCUGUACUACACUGCCUGAACUCAUCUGCUGGGAUGGUGCAAACGUCACCUGAGGACAAUCCCGAGCAAUAUGCCCUUCCUGUCCACAUUUAAAACAAGCUGUAGAUCCCAACCGACAAACUCCGCCAUGUGGUUUUCCGCAUCUUCUGCAGACUGGAGCUGUGCCAGAGCUUGAGCCACUACCUAUUCCCAGACCUAACUUAACUUUACUCCAGAACUUACUCUUUGUUCCUUUUGCUCUAUCCCAUCUCUUGCUGCCUGAACUGGGGGCCUUAGAACCCGAAGCUUGUGCCUUUGAUUGUUUCUGAAUAUUGGCACUAGCUUCCCUUUUCCUGGCUGCAUCUACUAUCGUGUGAAAACUCUCCUUUUCUGCUGGAAGAAUCAAGGAAGAAUACCUGGGAUGCAAUCUCAUAGUAUAUCUCCUUGCCUUCUUCUGAUCAGUAUCAUAGACUUGACCCACAUACUGAAGCAAAUCCAGGAACUUAUCUGUGAAUUCAUCAACACUCAUUUCAUCUGUCUGUCUCAACUGUUCGAACUCUAUUACUUUCAUCUCCCUGGAGCUGUCAGGAAAAGCCCACCCUGCAAAUUCAUUGGCGAACUCUCCCCAGGACAUGCUGUUCAUCCUAGGCUCCACAUAAUUCUUGAACCAUUCUCUGGCCUUCUUACAUUUAAGUGUAAACCCUGCCAUCUCAAUGGCUCUCCUAUCAUCUGCUCCCAAUUCACUGGUUAUCAUCCUAACUGCUCUGAGGUAAUCAAAUGGAUCAUCUCCCGUAUUGUAUUUAGGAGCAUCCAAUUUCAAGUACUCCGUCAUUUGCACUUUACCUCCAGAUGAGCUAGGUUGAUGUCUGUCAACAACAGGGGCUACUGGUUCUGGUGGUGGUGGUACUGGGUCAUUUAGCUCUGGGUGUGCUGCACUUGGAUGGGUAGGGGAGGGUGGAUACAUAGGAUAUGGUGGGUAAUAAGGAGGAUAAGGCAUAUAUGGCAUAUAAGGAGGAUAUGGGACAAAACUAGAGUACUUCGACAUACCUCCCAUCGAAUACUCUGGGUCCUGCGGAAAGGCUGGAUAGCCAAAACCUGAGGUUUGAGCGCCUCCCUGCGACUCUCCCAUACCUUCCUCAAAUCUGCCUAUACCCAUGCUAUCAUCUCUAGACUGGUCAAUCUCCAUAGCUUCCCUCCUUUCCUCUGAUCUUUCUCCUUUCGCUGUACCUCUUCUGCUCUCGUCUAUAGACCUUCUAGGGUCUAUUGACGUACCUUCCCUGCUAGAUCUCUGAGACCUUGCCCUUGGCAAUGCAGGAGGACGAGCAGUUGGUCUCUCACUUUCUGGUGGGACUCCAGUCAAUCGAGCUGAUCGACGAGUUCCUCUCAUCUUUACUCUGGAAAACAUCACAACAUAGAGCACUUUAGCACAUAAAACAUCACAGAUCAAUACUGCACAUGCAUACAUCAUGGCAUUAAACGGAUAGGACUCAACACCCUAUCCUAGUAGACAUGAAUUCCUAUUGUGCUUGACCACCUCUAGCCUCUAUGAGCCCGACACUGUCUCUAUAGGUCCGAUCAUGUGAACCUAGGGCUCUGAUACCAAUCUGUAACGACCCCAAAAUGGACCGUCACCGGCGCUAGGAUUCAGGUCAGCUUAAGGCCGCCAGAACCCGUAGCAAGCCUGCUAUACUCUCUGUGUACCUGUCAUACUCAUACAUGAUCAUACAUUUUCUGUGAAAAUAAAAACUCUUUGCUGAACCAAGGCUUAACCUGUGCAUGCACUAUCUCUGUACUUUGUACUCUGUACUCUGUACCCCUGACUAGAGCUUGCUCUAGAUGGGUAAUUCAUACCUGUUAAGCCUGGUUUUUCACAUACAAGAAAACAACUAUACAUAUACAGAUCAUGGACAACAUAAACAUCACUAAGUCAAGCACAUUUCUAACUUUAUACACAACUAUUACAUCUCUUUCAAAUUACAUGUCCACUCUACACUAUUACAAUUCUCUUUACUCUUUUUGGUACUCUGCUGAUCUCCUCUCUAUACUGUACACUGAACCUGCAAAACUGGGGUUAAGGGAGUGGGAUGAGCUCUAUAGCCCAGUGAGUAGAACAAUAAAACAUCUCAUUAAAAUAUGAACUCAUGGAAUGCGUCAUAACACAGACAAUCCACAUCAAGAGUAAACCUGUCACCACAUAGUCCCAGUAACUCUGUGCCAGGGCGUAGAAUCAAGCACCUGGUCUUCCUGUCAUAUAUGUAUAUGUGUAUAUAACACCUAUGUACUUACCAUUGCCAAGGCGUAGUCAAAGGCUCCUGGACUUUGCUAUACCUGCCAGGGCGUAGUCAAAGGCUCCUGGACUUCUCUAUACUUGCCAGGGCGUAGUCAAAGGCUCCUGGACUUCCUGUCUGUGACUAUUGGAUCAUUCAGCAUUUACCCACAUCAACAAAUAACUAUGCAAUGCAGCAUAUUCGUGGA